rnacentral:lncRNA from 1 species
CCAACCGCCGGGCUAUAAUCUAUGAAACUGAUCCCGGAUCCAGCCAAUCAGUUAGCUCCUCAUAACAAGUCUAACUGGCUCUGGACAGCUGAAGGGCUGUGCUGGAGCGCAGCAGAGGAGAUAUUCCACACAGCACUCUGCUUAUCUACAGUCACUUUGCCUGGAAAGGCCAGAGGGGGGAAAAAAAAACCACAGCUUCUUUGUCUCAGGGAAGGAGGACAGGUGAUCUGGCACAGACGAUCUGAAGCCAGAGCAA